rnacentral:rRNA from 1 species
GACGAACGCUGGCGGCGUGCUUAACACAUGCAAGUCGAACGGUAAGGCCCUUCGGGGUACACGAGUGGCGAACGGGUGAGUAACACGUGGGUGAUCUGCCCUGCACUUCGGGAUAAGCCUGGGAAACUGGGUCUAAUACCGGAUAGGACUCCGGACUGCAUGGUCUGGGGUGGAAAGCUUUUGCGGUGUGGGAUGGGCCCGCGGCCUAUCAGCUUGUUGGUGGGGUGAUGGCCUACCAAGGCGACGACGGGUAGCCGGGCUGGGAGGGUGACCGGCCACACUGGGACUGAUAUACGGCCCAGACUCCUACGGGAGGCAGCAGUGGGGAAUAUUGCACAAUGGGCGCAAGCCUAAUGCAGCGACGCCGCGUGAGGGAUGACGGCCUUCGGGUUGUAAACCUCUUUCAGCACAGACGAAGCGCAAGUGACGGUAUGUGCAGAAGAAGGACCGGCCAACUACGUGCCAGCCGCCGCCGUAA